rnacentral:rRNA from 1 species
CCUAACACAUGCAAGUCGAGCGGAAACGACAUUAUUGAAUCUUCGGAGGAUUUAAUGGGCGUCGAGCGGCGGACGGGUGAGUAAUGCCUAGGAAAUUGCCUUGAUGUGGGGGAUAACCAUUGGAAACGAUGGCUAAUACCGCAUAAUGCCUACGGGCCAAAGAGGGGGACCUUCGGGCCUCUCGCGUCAAGAUAUGCCUAGGUGGGAUUAGCUAGUUGGUGAGGUAAUGGCUCACCAAGGCGACGAUCCCUAGCUGGUCUGAGAGGAUGAUCAGCCACACUGGAACUGAGACACGGUCCAGACUCCUACGGGAGGCAGCAGUGGGGAAUAUUGCACAAUGGGCGAAAGCCUGAUGCAGCCAUGCCGCGUGUAUGAAGAAGGCCUUCGGGUUGUAAAGUACUUUCAGUUGUGAGGAAGGGUGUGUAGUUAAUAGCUGCGCAUCUUGACGUUAGCAACAGAAGAAGCACCGGCUAACUCCGUGCCAGCAGCCGCGGUAAUAC